rnacentral:RNase_P_RNA from 3 species
AACGGUGAUUGUCCUGUCGCUGCUUCAGAUUACUGAAGGAGAGGAAAGUCCGGGCAACACAGGGUGCCAUGCUUCCUAACGGGAAGGGGUUUGUUUUGCAAAUCACAGAAAGUGCCACAGAAAAUAUACCGCUCACUUGUGAGUAAGGGUGAAAACGCGAGGUAAGAGCUCACGGCAGCAUACGGCGACGUGUGUUGCGGUAAACCUCAUGGGUUGAAAGAUCAAAUAAACCGGGGCUUGAGGGCGACCCGCCUAACCCGGAGGGUAGAUCGAUCGAGUUUUGCGGCAACGUAAAACCUAGAUAAAUGACAGGAGUUCACAGAACCCGGCUUACAGAUCACCGUUUUUU